UACGUAGGGGGCGAGCGUUGUCCGGAUUUACUGGGCGUAAAGGGCGCGUAGGCGGUCUUUCGAGUCGGCUGUGAAAUCUCCGGGCCCAACUCGGAGGGGUCGGCCGAGACCGAGGGACUCUGAGGGUGGUAGAGGAAGGUGGAAUUCCGGGUGUAGUGGUGAAAUGCGUAGAGAUCCGGAGGAACACCAGUGGCGAAGGCGGCCUUCUGGGCCACCACUGACGCUGAGGCGCGAAAGCGUGGGGAGCGAA
rnacentral:rRNA from 1 species